AUGAACGUCAUCUGAUUUAGUGGAGCAUUGAAUCACUUCCCCCCUGCCUUAUCAUCUCUUCAUCUGAUUACAUGAGGUAGCCAAUCCAUCCAUCACACAUAUGAGUCCCUCCUGGUUCAGCGAGAAAAGGAACCUCAUAAUCAACAGUACAUCUGUAAUGCCUCUUACAGUGUGUGAUGUCUCAGCCAACCGUUACCACUGACUUCUAUGGAUUACGGUACCUGCCACUCUGGCUUCGUUCUAACGUGUAAGUGCUGCACCUGACCUCUGCUGCUCUGUCAUCCUAUAACGGCGAUCGAUACGGGAGAGUCCAGUAGGAAGUA
rnacentral:lncRNA from 1 species